UACCCACGUACCCAAAUAUUCAGAAGUCUUUAUUUUUGUGCUAAAACAGAAACAUUCCAGAGAAUAAAUUAAUAAAAUUAUAUUCAAAUUUAGGGUGUGUUGCAGCUGUAUAUUUUGUCUCUGCCUUGUGUGGUCCUCGCCUGUUUGUGAAAAAAAAGUACGUACUUUAAAGAUCAAGCUACAACGCUUAAAUAGAGGAAAGCACAAACACCGAAGUUAAAGACAUGAUUAAGGUAUGUUUUAUCAAUUUGAUGUGAAAUGUUGAUAAAUUUUGUGAGUUAAAGUGGUUGAAACUGCUUGUCGAAUUUGACGAUCACAAGUCGCUUUGUGUUCAACAUUUUGUGGUGGUUUAUAUAGAUACUGAAUUCAGUGGUGUAACAGAGGAACCCUUAGGCAUAUUUGGUGUGGGGGGCCUGUUAACUGUUGUUAUUGUUUGAGAUGUUAUAUUUAGCUAUAUUUCCCUCUCUAUAACAAUCACUGCUACAACACAACUAAGGAGCCAAUUAUCUGGAGCACUUUCAACCCAGGGAUUGUUGAAUUUUUCGUGAUUACAUGGAUGAUUUUGAUGCCAGGUUUGAAAUGCUAUAUGUCCCUGGCAUUGAUUCCCGGAAGUACAAAAAUGGCUCCAUAUUAACCUCCAUUUUGUUUUCUUGUAAUAAAUAGUCACUACCACACAUGCUCGAGCGAGUAACUGAUUAAAAUUUUCAGCCCCAGGUUGAAACAAUUACAUGACAAAAUUUUCAACCCAGGGCCGAGUUUUCCCUGCUGGCAGUGGUCUCUAUUGGUAGAGACCUCUACCAGCAAAGAGGGUUGAAUUUCAACCCCGGGGUUGAUAAUAAUAUAUGUAAUGUAAUUGUGUGUUUGGUUUUUUUGAAGUUUUGUAUUACACACAGGGAUGAAAUUUCAAUCCAGUCAACAGAGCUGGGUUCAACCACGGGGUUGAAAAUGCUCCAUGUAAUCAGCUUCUAAUAAGAAUAAGAAUACCGUUUGUUUUAUUUGAGAUGGAAUAACAAAUUCAGUUGAUUAUUUAGCAUUAUUAAUUUUGCAUUUUCCCAUCAAUUCUUAACCUGCAUUUUUACAUCUUCUCAUUUUCUGGGCGACGGGUCAUGGCUGUGUGUGUGUGUGUGUGUGUGUGUGGGGGGGGGGGGCUUAACUGUCGGCCCCUAAUUUGAAUUAACUCUGCCUAAUACCUCAACGUUUCGUGAAGUUUAGUUCAAAUUAGCAGAGAUGAGUGCAUAAAGUAUUUAGGAUAUUUUGAAGCUAAAUUUGUUUUUAAAAUUGUCAUUUUAGUGAAUACAAGAAAUGUUGAAUAGUCUGCUGCAAGGAGACAUCGGGCAUUGUAAUGAAUGGAUGAUAAUGCGAGUCGCUGGCAAACCUACAGCCCUUACUGCGAUAGGCAGUCAAGUAUUUUUAACCUGCACAUUUUUGUUUUUAUUUCCCCUAUUUUCUUUUAUGUUCAUAAAUAUCAUGACUCAUGACUUUUAAUGUUGGAAGGAGUUGAGAGUCCCCACUCAACUGCAUGCCUUCUGAAUAAUAAUUAUCGACUCCAUUUUACAUGCUACCAUUUUAACUGUGAGAAUUUUUUGAAAAUUUUGAGAUUUGAAAGCUAUUGCUUUCAACUAUAUAGAGCCCAACUAUUAUUAUGUCAUUGGCUCCGGGAAUAAAUGGGUGUACUGUUUGUGUUGAAUGGUUUGAAGUGUUGCAGGUAUCUUGGAAUCUCUAAUAAAGUUGUGAUAUUAUUUCAGUGCUGUUUCUAUAAAGGCCCAGCUCGCUAUAGCUAUAUGCCUUAGCCUAAAUGAUUUCAGUUCUAUUUCAAUUAAAAUAUUUUAAGUACUUUCCAAUAAGGCCCAGCUUCCUAUGGCUAUAUGCCUUAGCCUAAAUAAUUGCAGUUAUAUUUCAAUUAAAAUAUUUUAGGUACAUUCCACAAAGGACAGCUUGCUAUGGCUAUAUGCCAUAACCUAAAUAAUUUCAGUUAUAUUUCAAUUAAAACAUUUUAAGUACUUUCCAUAAAGGACAGCUCCCUAUGGCUAUAUGCCUUAGCCUAAAUAAUUUCAGUUAUAUUUCAAUUAAAAUAUUUUAGGUACAUUCCACAAAGGACAGCUUGCUAUGGCUAUAUGCCAUAACCUAAAUAAUUUCAGUUAUAUUUCAAUUAAAACAUUUUAAGUACUUUCCAUAAAGGACAGCUUGCUAUGGC
rnacentral:lncRNA from 1 species